CAAUAGCGUAUAUUUAAGUUGUUGCAGUUAAAAAGCUCGUAGUUGGAUUUCGGUUAAGAGCGACCGGUCCGCCGUUUGGUGUGCACUGGUUGGUUUUAGCUUCCUGUAGAGGACGUGCUCUGGGUUUAACGACCUGGACUCGGAGUCUACGUGGUUACUUUGAAAAAAUUAGAGUGUUCAAAGCGGGCUUACGCUUGAAUAUUUCAGCAUGGAAUAACACUAUAGGACUCCUGUCCUAUUUCGUUGGUCUCGGGACGGGAGUAAUGAUUAAGAGGAACAGUUGGGGGCAUUCGUAUUUCAUUGUCAGAGGUGAAAUUCUUGGAUUUAUGAAAGACGAACUUCUGCGAAAGCAUUUGCCAAGGAUGUUUNCAUUAA
rnacentral:rRNA from 1 species